rnacentral:rRNA from 1 species
UACGUAGGGGGCAAGCGUUGUCCGGAUUUACUGGGCGUAAAGAGCGUGUAGGCGGCCAAGCAGGUCCGUUGUGAAAACUCGAGGCUCAACCUCGAGAGGUCGGUGGAAACCGUCUGGCUAGAGUCCGGAAGAGGAGAGUGGAAUUCCCGGUGUAGCGGUGAAAUGCGCAGAUAUCGGGAAGAACACCCGUGGCGAAGGCGGCUCUCUGGGACGGUACUGACGCUGAGACGCGAAAGCGUGGGGAGCGAACAGG